ensembl:lncRNA
GCGGCAGAACCAUUUUCCUGGAAGGCGUGGUGACCUCAGGUGCAAACUACGUACAGGAGAGCACCCGGCAGAGGUGAGCCUUCUGACCUCAGCAGGGCAGGGGCAGCGCAGCCCAGCGCAGCAGCCAGGUCCGCGCCGGCCCCUGACGUGAGCCCGCCUCCUUCCCCAGAGGCAGAAGAACCACCACCAUCUGCCUUAAAGUUCUGCCCCGCUCCUCCUGGCUCCUAGGCCGGCCUGCACCCUGUCUCCACAGCCACCUCUGCUCCUGUGACUCACAACGUUUCGGAGGCCAACCUAGAAGCCUCCUGGGGGAAGGACGGACGCCUUGCCUAAGCUCUGGGCUCAGACUGGCUCCACUUUACACCGAGAGAACGCGCAGCCCCAGCACCCUCCUGGAAGCCCACGAGGUCACCUGGGAACACACCGGACAAGUUUGGGUCCCUUCAGACGAACAACACGACGGACGGGGCUCCGACAGGCAGGGCGGCAAAGGAGGGAGGCCAGGGGCCGUCUGGACGGCAAGAUCACCAGCUGGCUCGGUGAAGAAAGCACGCUGCCACCUUCAGCCUUGGCUCCAGCCACCGCUGGGGCACAAGACAGGGCCGGCAGCAACCCUGGGAGGCUCCAGACGAUGGCCCCACAGGUCACAGGAGCGAGGGAGGCGAGCCCCAGGCCAUCUGCCGUUGGAGCUGGAAAGGCCGCGUGAGGCAGCCCAGGGCGGAGCACAGCCUUGCUGGGGCAGGAGCACGGCAGGAAAAGGUCAGGAGACAGGCCGGAGCCGCUCCGAGGGGCAGAGCUGGGCAGCUGAGGGAGGCCCGGAGGACAGACGUCGAGGAGGCCGGGACUCAGUGUUCUUCUCAGAUGCAGAGGACAGGGCGCAUCUGCGUCCCCGGCCCCGUCACUUCUCAACACAAGCGGCUGUCUCGGGAGCUCUCCUGUGCGGCAGCAGGUUAAGGAUCCGAUGCUGCCACAGCGGAGGUGUAGAUCCCUGGCCCGGGAAUGUCCGUAUGUCUUGUGUGUGGCCCCCCCAAAACAAAAACAAACAAAAAAAACCCCAGCUGCCUCUGGCAAAGACUCCCAUCCAUCAGACUGGAAGGGCCUGAGACAAUCAGGUAGCCAGGGGACAAGGAACAGCCCCGAGGGGCCAGAUGGCCCAAGGGCACACAGCAGCUGGGCAGCACAGGAUGGCUUCCUGGAGCCAGGGAAGAAGGACGUGGCAGGGUGGGAGCCGAAAGGCAUGCUGGCACCACCAACAGAGGCGCAGAGCCUCUUCUGAGGCCCACGUGCCCUGGGCAGGUGCAGAGCCGGCAGCUCUUCCUUCCCUUUCCCAGCAGGGGGGGUUCAGGGCCGAGGCUCACACAGGUCAGGACUCAACAGAGGCCAGAAGCGAACGGAACGUGAUUCCAGUGAGUGGUACGUGGAGGAGACCAGGUCUCGAGCUGAAUCCCGCAGGAACAGGCUAAAAGGCCUCGGCUGGCUCCCUCGAGGGGGCGCUGCUCCGGGAGGGGCCGGGGAUACAGGACAGGCCACUGCCUGCAAAAGGCAUCAACUCCGCACACACACACUGGACACCCGGCCCGAGGGCACAGCACCCGCCACGGAAAGAUGAGCGCAGACGUCAAGUCUGACCACAGCCUGCGGGAAGCACAGGGCAAGGAGGCCGGGCACAGCCGAGGCGGAUGGUAAAGGCUCCUCGUGGCCCCAGGACCAGGCUUGUCAAGUGAGGCGCCUGGGAAGGGCCAGGCUCAGAAGACGGGCUGCAGAGACAAGCUCGGCCGGAGGAGAGGCGGCACAGACACCGGGGGCUUCGGCUAAAUGAACGCUCUGUCCCCAUGACCUGAGGCUGGCACCACCUCCAGAGCAGACACAUGACCAUCAAUGGGCCACUCGACAGUGAUCACCCAGACAGCAGGCGCUCAUCAAGCACCUACCAUGUGCCAGGCCCGACUCUGGGCACUGAGAACACAGCAACAAACACAACUUGACAACAAUCUCUGGCCUGACCAAAAAAAAGAAAAAA